UACGUAGGUGGCAAGCGUUGUCCGGAUUUACUGGGCGUAAAGAGCGCGCAGGCGGUUGAUUAAGUCGAAUGUGAAAGCCCCCGGCUCAACUGGGGAGGGUCACGCGAUACUGAUCGACUCGAAGGCAGGAGAGGGUAGUGGAAUUCCCGGUGUAGUGGUGAAAUUCGUAGAUAUUCGCAAGAACACCAAUGGCGAAGGCAGCUCUCUGGGACGGUACUGACGCUGAGACGCGAAAGCGUGGGGAGCGAACAGG
rnacentral:rRNA from 1 species